AGCGAACGCUGGCGGCAGGCUUAACACAUGCAAGUCGAGCGGGCGUAGCAAUACGUCAGCGGCAGACGGGUGGGCAACCCGUGGGAACGUACCUUUUGGUUCGGAACAACACCGGGAAACUUGUGCUAAUACCGGAUAAGCCCUUACGGGGAAAGAUUCAUCGCCGAAAGAUCGGCCCGCGUCUGAUUAGCUAGUUGGUGAGGUAACGGCUCACCAAGGCGACGAUCAGUAGCUGGUCUGAGAGGAUGAUCAGCCACAUUGGGACUGAGACACGGCCCAAACUCCUACGGGAGGCAGCAGUGGGGAAUAUUGGACAAUGGGGGCAACCCUGAUCCAGCCAUGCCGCGUGAGUGAUGAAGGCCCUAGGGUUGUAAAGCUCUUUUGUGCGGGAAGAUAAUGACGGUACCGCAAGAAUAAGCCCCGGCUAACUUCGUG
rnacentral:rRNA from 1 species